AUCCACACUGCACAAAAGAGCUGAAACUCUGAAUCUGGAAGUUCUUCCAGUGAAAUCUGGCUUUUGGACAACCCAGGGAUAACUUCUGAUGAGACAGGAAGUGAACAGUACAGGUGUACAACGCUUCCAGUCAGCUUUGAAGGUAGAAGGGCAGAUGCACUUAGCUGAGCCGUAUAUGACUUUUGCGCACAAUGUUUGGAAAGCUAACCCGUAGCAGUUGAUGUCAAGCUAGCUGGGCCUGAGCUGAAACGGCAAAAUCUGGAAUAAUUUGAUAGACUAUAAAUCGGAAUUUCGGGAAGAGUUCACUGCAGAAAUAGUUCCAUCAUCCUCAGGACGGACAACACCUCAACUAAGGAAAAAAA